CGGGUAUCAGAUGUACUGGAGUUCGACGUAGACGGUCUUUUCGGUAUCACCGGAAAGAAUGAUUUCUACAGUGUCUCGUAGAACUAUAUCUUAUCCGCGUCCGUAUCGUUCCCUGUUACCGACGGUUUCCCAGUCUUUGUGCAGUUAAAGCGGUACUUUGUUACAUGGAGAUCACGACAACACUUAGAAUGUCACAUUCAGGACAUCUGCUGGUCUUAUACCAACCGUACAAGCCAGUUACCAUGAACACUCUGCCUAGAUGGGUUCAUUGGUUGUUAUCGCUAGCGGGGGUAGAGACCUGUUUUGGGUACUCAUUCGGUAAGAGGCGCGGCUGCUUCUCAGGCCUUCACGAGGGGGCCUCUAUAUUUUCAGCGACGAAUUGGACACGGAUAGACUACUUCCGUAUAUUUAUUUUCGUCAACCACACACGCAUCCUUCUCGCUCAUACCACAGCUUUAAAAAUGCAAAAUAUGAAGCCUCCUGUCAUGUGAUAAAAUUGUAGAUUAUGCUAACGUAGUGAACCUAUAAUCUUAAUUUUAAUAAUGACAGGAGGCGAAUAUUUUCCCUCCCUGUUUCCCUCCCUAUACUCUGGAAAUUUUUUAUAUUCUGGUUUGUCAUUUUCUCAGUGUAAAUUAUAAGGUUAGGUAAUUCAGUAUAUUUAUGGGAUGCUUAUUUGGUUGAUAUGUGUUAGAUCCGUGUUGAUUAUUAAGUAUACUAUGGUUUGUUUAAUGUUUCAGUAUAUCAACUUAAUAUAAAUAUAGACACAUAUAGUACUGGAUUUAAUGUGGACAACAGUUGGUUUCCAUCACCUUUCACGUAUUUCUGUUCUUUUCAGCGUAAUCAUAGAUGGAUUCGACAAGAUAAAGCUGGAAGGUUUCAAGUUUCGUUUCAAGUUAUGUGCUACACGUUAAUCAGGACUGUUAUUUGAAUUCCCUGACGUUAUAAUAGACUGUUUUUCGCAUCAAAGAAAG